rnacentral:rRNA from 1 species
AUUGAACGCUGGCGGCAUGCUUUACACAUGCAAGUCGAACGGUAACAGGGUGCUUGCACCGCUGACGAGUGGCGAACGGGUGAGUAAUACAUCGGAAUGUACCCAGUAAUGGGGGAUAACGCUUCGAAAGGAGUGCUAAUACCGCAUACGCCCUGAGGGGGAAAGUGGGGGACCGCAAGGCCUCACGUUAUUGGAGCAGCCGAUGGCUGAUUAGCUAGUUGGUGAGGUAAAGGCUCACCAAGGCGACGAUCAGUAGCGGGUCUUAGAGGACGAGCCGCCACAAUGGAACUGAGACGCGGUCCAGACUCCUACGGGAGGCAGCAGUGGGGAAUCUUGGACAAUGGGCGAAAGCCUGAUCCAGCAAUGCCGCGUGCGUGAAGAAGGCCUUCGGGUUGUAAAGCGCUUUUGUCUGGGAGCAAAUCCUGGCCUCUAAUACAGGUCGGGGAUGAGAGUACCAGAAGAAUAAGCACCGGCUAACUACGUGCCAGCCGCCGCGGUAAAAC